rnacentral:lncRNA from 1 species
CAAUAAUCAUUUUCAAAUCAUCGCAGUUUUCCACUUCUACUUUUUGAAGCCGCAAUAGGUUUUUGGCCAUGAAGAAUGAGAAGAGAUGCUUCAAUUUGUCACAAAAAAAUACUUUUAUAAUCCUUAAGUUGCUGAAAGAUUGAUCUUCUCUGAGUUGGCUGUAGCAUAUCGUUUCCAAAUUAGUUAAACCAAUAAGAUACAAUGUCUCCAGCAAGGGAAAGACUUUGCAACGAGCUCGUCCAAUUGAACCGACAAUAUGUAAAAUCUCAGGACAGCCUGCUACUAGAAGAUGCUCCAAUUGUGGAAAACCUUCCCCAUCGUCUAAUUCAUGAACAACACUCGGAACACCAUUCAAUGUUACUAGACGGAGAUCUUCAGUUCUUUUUAGCAACAUUUUCAUCCCAUAAUUCUCCAAAAGAAUGCUAACGUUUUCUAGCUCCUGGAGUUUCAUUGAUCUUGAUGUUUCAGAUGUCAAUUUUUCUAGCUCCGUGAUAACUAUGGAUGCUGAUGCUCUAGAUGUGGCGAAGGACACAAGUCCAUUUCGUUGCACUUUUCCUAUACAUAUCUGAUACCUUUGCAAUUCCACAGAGACCAAAUCCUGCGGCAGAAUUUCGGGAUCCGGAACAUCUAUCUCCAAAGUAGUUAGCAAUAAUCCUACCAAUAAUUAAUUUAAACACUUACCAAUCAUCAUUUUCAAUUUAUUGCAAUUUACCACUUCUACUUUUUGAAGCCCCAAUAGGUUUUUGGCCAUAGAGAAUGAGAAGAGAUACUUCAAUUUUGGACAGGAAUAUACGUAUAUAAUCCUUAAGUUGCUGAAAGAUUGAUCUUCUCUGAGUUGGCUGUAGCAUAUCGUCUCCAAAUUAGUUAAAUUAAUAAGAUCCAAUGAUUCCAGCAAGGGAAAGACUUCGCAACGAACCCGUCUAACUGAACCGACAAUAUGUAAAAUCUCAGAACAACCUGUUACAUGAAGAUGCUGCAAUCGUGGAAAACCUUCCCCAUCGUCUAAUUCAUGAACAACAUUCUGAACACCCGUCAGUGAGUAUAGACGGAGAUCUUCAGUUCUCUUCAGCAACAUUUUCGUCCCAUCAUUCCCCAAAAGAAGGCUAACUUUUUCUGGCCCCUUGAGCACCAUCAAUGUUGAUGUUUUAGAUUCGACGAGUCGUCGGUUAGACAUUUGUCCUAUAAAUAUCUUAUAUCUUUCCAAUUCCAUAGAGACAAAAUCCGGCGGCAGAAUUUCGGAAUCCGAAACAUCUAUCUCCAAAGUAGUUAGCUUUGACAACCCCUUCAACUCGACAAGACUGGCAUUACUUCCUCCUUCAACCUUAUCCCACUGUGAAAAGCUGCAACCCAUGUACAGUUCUUCUAGUCGAGAUAAUUUGGAUAUGAUGUUAGGAAAUUGGUGGGUGCAGCAGGACCGCAGCUAAAAUAAAAUUGGAAAUAAAAUAAAGAACAAGCACACUAGAGGACACAAGAAAAUUACGUGGUUCGGCUUUUAGCCUACGUCCACGGGCGAAGACAGAAGGAAAUAUUUUACUAGUGAAAAGGAGUUACAAGUAUUGUAGUAUUUUAGCUCACUUCCCAAAAUCCCAAUACACCCAAACUCUCAAAACACUAAACACUCAAGAGUUUAUUAAACUCUUAAAACUCUCAACACUCAAAGAAAGCAAUGCUUCUCUCUCG